rnacentral:rRNA from 1 species
UACGAAGGGGGGCUAGCGUUGCUCGGAAUCACUGGGCGUAAAGCGCACGUAGGCGGCUUGCUAAGUCAGGGGUGAAAUCCUGGAGCUCAACUCCAGAACUGCCUUUGAUACUGGCGAGCUUCGAGUCCGGGAGAGGUGAGUGGAACUGCGAGUGUAGAGGUGAAAUUCGUAGAUAUUCGCAAGAACACCAGUGGCGAAGGCGGCUCACUGGCCCGGUACUGACGCUGAGGUGCGAAAGCGUGGGGAGCAAACAGG